rnacentral:rRNA from 1 species
UACAGAGGUCUCAAGCGUUGUUCGGAUUCAUUGGGCGUAAAGGGUGCGUAGGUGGCGCGGUAAGUCGGGGUGUGAAAUUUUCGGAGCUUAACUCCGAAACUGCAUUCGAUACUGCCGUGCUUGAGGACUGGAGAGGAGACUGGAAUUUACGGUGUAGCAGUGAAAAUGCGUAGAGAUCGUAAGGAAGACCAGUGGCGAAGGCGGGUCUCUGGACAGUUCCUGACACUGAGGCACG